rnacentral:rRNA from 1 species
CAUGGUAAUGCUUUUGAAUGCGAGCCACCUUGGGAAGUACGGUCGCAAGGCUGAAACUUAAAGGAAUUGGCGGGGGAGCACCACAACGGGUGGAGCUUGCGGUUUAAUUGGUUCAACGCCGGAAAUCUUACCGGGACCGACAGCAAUUUGAAGGCCAGGCUGAAGACUUUGCCGGAUUAGCUGAGAGGUGGUGCAUGGCCGUCGUCAGUUCGUACUGUGAAGCAUCCUGUUAAGUCAGGCAACGAGCGAGACCCAA